rnacentral:lncRNA from 1 species
GUUGAAUCCCGGAUGCUGUUCUAAAGUGCUCUAAAUGUACCCACAACCCCGUGACUUAGGUGUUAUUGAUUGCUCUUUCCACUUUGCAUAUGGACCUGAGGCACCGAGGGCUGAAUGGGUGCUUCAAGUCACACAGCUGGUCAGUGGCCCUGCCAGGUACGGACGCAGCCCUGGACCUCACUCUCCUGACAAGAAUUCUCCACGGGUGAGGAGUGAUGUCUAGGUCCAGAGGGGGAAGGCUCCUGGGCUUUCUCCAGGCUGCUUCUGGAAGUCACUUCAAGUCCCCGAGGCCUGAGGCGGGGCUGCUGCACUCUGAGAGAGGCAGCUUGUUCUGUGGCCACGAACAGAAGUGGCCACGGCUGAGCCGCAGGUGCUUGGCUUGGCCUGCUCCGUGUUUUUAAAUAUACGGAUUUGUUGAUAAGAGUUCAAGAUUGGGAGAUUCCACCUAAGAACCCCUGUUUCUCUUGAAGAUGUGGAGAUUGAGCACCACGGGGCCCACCUUCUCCGGUGAAGAGCCACCGGCCCUGGGACAGGGACCACAUCUCAAAUGGCUCACUCCUGUGCCUUCGGCCCCUGACAGAUCCCUCUGGGGAGGACAGGGGCCCGAUUUCCUGAGCAACCUACUGUGCUUCAGAGACCGUGGAAGGAGCUGCACCGACAUAUUGUGUUUGAUCCUCUUCAGAAAUCAUCAGUGGCCAAUCGGGAAGUAGAGGCUCAGAGAGCUGAAGAAGCUGCCCAAGGUCACAGCGUGAGCAGACGGCACAGCCAUGUCCCUGCUGCUUUGGGAGGCUCUCUUUCCACCCUCAGUUUCUCCAGACACACCCAGCACAGUAUCUCUGGAGAAACUGUGGUGUGAUCUGUGGGGGACUGGCCAGAUGAACUUAGGCCCCGGAUGUCAAUGCCUGUGGUUCUUUGGCUUUCUGACCCCUGCAGGUUGUGCAGUGAGGGCAGGGGUCCAGCAGCCAAUGUGCACACCUAGACUUCCCAGAAUAA